GGGACCCUCACCUCCCCUGCUCUCUUCCCGGGCAGCCAUCUCGGGUGGAUUGUUGCGCCGCCCUCGGACCGCCUCGUCCUGGCUACAAAGGCGGACCGACCCUCUCCUGAUUCCUCUCCCAUAACUCAUCCGAUCGCCACGUUCAACCAAGAGAGAGUGUGAAAUUCGUCGGUAGCAGAGAGGAGGGAAGGAGACCGCCGCGCUCGAUUUCCCUUGUCGCCGACGGUCGAUACGCGGGAGGGGUCUCGGAGGACUUGUCUUCGUGCGAGGAUCGCGCACACUCGACUUCUCAAACGCGGAAGGCACUGGACACCGGAGAAUCGUUCGCCGGAGCACCAAGGUCCGCCGCGGACUUCGUUUUCCCGCGGGCAGUGCUCUGCAUCACGCUGUCUUUGACGAGCAAGCAACCGAGGACUCUGGUGCUCAGCAGGUGGAAAAUACUAAACAGGAGCUCGUUGAAGGCAAGUUGUGCCCUUGACCACUUUUAUUUACCCAAUAAUGUUCUCUAUAAUCACUAUGACAUGUUUAGUUUUAAUUUUGAUGGGACCCAAUAGGUCACCCUAGUCUGCUUUAUCUUGUGCCUUGAUCACCACUAAACUUUUGAGUAGUCCUGCUAUUGCUAUAUGUGGUUUUGGGUGUUGAGAUAAAUUUGACA